GAUUUCUAAUGUGUGUAUGUCUAUAUAUAUAGUAUCCUUAUAAGAUAGUAAUUAAAUUAAUGAAACUUUUUGAUGUUGCUUUUGUAUAUAUAUCCUUCAUCGUGUUGGCUGAUAGGAGUGGUGUAACCUUUUCUCGGAACUCUUGAUUUUUUUCUUUAAUCUCUCUUUGUCAACAGUAUUAUUUUACAUUUGAAUUUUAUUUGGUAAAGAUGAGGUUCCUUUUGAGCAGGUAGGCAUAAUUGCCUAAAGAUAUUGAAGAAUAUAAUUGAAGCAUUUCUAAGGACUUAAAAUUUACUUUACCUCAAAAAUAAUCAUUCAAAUCUCUCUCUUUAGUUACUUAGCACCACCACAUCUAGCAAGAAUUAUUUUCAAACCCUUUGCUCCAUUGGAAAAAAUGAAAACAAUUCUCACGAUCUAUCAUAUUGAAAAUUGAUCAAAUUUCACAAUUUUCAUUUAUGAUGAAUAGUCAACCUGAUGAGGAUAUUUCCAAAAGAUCUACCCAUCGAAACUUUUCAUUAUUAAUGCUGAAAAACAUAAACCAAAAUAUUGUUAAGGAUCAUGAUAAAAAAAAAUAACUAAUUUAUUUUAACAUAUUAAGUGUAUUGCAACUUUGAAAUGUAAUUACUCUUAUUGAUAAAUAACUAGUUAAAAAUAAUAAUAAUUAGGACAAGACACGGUAACAUUCUUUGAUUCUUUAUUGACCUUAAAAUGUUUCAAUUCGUAUUCAUGUAUAGACAAUUACAAGUUACUAUGAGGAUUUUUUAUUCUUACUAGUGAAAUACUAUUAAUUUUUUUAAUGAAAUUAGAUUUAAUGAUAUAAUACUCAAUUGAAAUCGGGAUUGAACAAAAAUUCAGGCACAAAUACAAAAUUAGUUCUAUGAAAAGACGAAAUAUACACAUCACAUGAAUAUGAAAUUUCAAGGAAGAAACACUCACCAUAUAAAGAUAAUAGACUAUUAUGGUAUUUCAUUGAUUCGAUUUGAUGAUAUAAAAAUACCAUCAUUGAAUGAGGACUAUGCAAAUGGAAGAACAAAAGUGUUAGAGGAAUGAAAAUAAAUUGAUAGGAAAUGUGAAGACCAUAUAAGCCCUCACAUUGUAGAAAAUGAACAUGUAGCAUGGAGUGUUUGUAAUAAGUUUGGUCUCGAGAAACUUAUUUAUAGACCUGUUUUGUGCUCCAUUUGAAG
rnacentral:lncRNA from 1 species